AUUAACAAGUUUCGGGAGGAGCACGCGCAGAUAAUUAACGCAGCCACUUCAUCAUCAGCAAUCACACCAUCUAUCCAAUCAGCUCAAGAGAGAACCCCUAUAAAUAAUCAAAGCAGUCUUACCUCCAUCAGUUCUAGUCUUUCAGCGUUCGGUUCGCUCCUUUGCCAUUAUAUCACAGACCCAAUUUUUUCCAACCCGGUCUCAUCAAUCUGCGUAUAAAUAACACGAGUUUACACUUUCAAAUUGCGUGUAAUACAUACGCCAAAGUCCACUUUUGCGUGCAUAUGACACGCCAAUCCUCCCAUUAACUUCAGUGGAGAGCAGAUGCGUCCAAAUACCACGCAGCAUCUUCAGCGGCAGUGACGUCACCAGCGAGGCUCGGUCACGGCUCGGUUCACCUGAUGCGCGCACACCUUCACACAGUUAACGCCAGAUCACAUACUCCAGCAGCUCUUUUAAGAAGCCAUCUCUCUCUCUCUCUCUCUCUCUCUCUCUCUUUCUCUCUCAAUUCAAUUUAAUUCAAUAUGUGCUUUAUUGGCAUGACAAUUGUUACAAUGUAUUGCCAAAGCGUAGUGUUUACUUUGAAUCUAGAACAGAUAUAUAUGCAACAAAAACAUGCAUGUAGAUACAUUUAAAAAGUAGAACAAAUCAACAUUUUAGAAUUCCAUGAACAAUUUAAAAUUCAAUGUUGUGUGUGUGUGUGUGUGUCUCUCUCUCUCUCUCUCUCUCUCUCUCUCUCAGCUUUUCCGUUCCUAUUUUGCUGAUCUUAAAGAAGCUGAACAAGUUCUUCAAAGAUUCAACCCUUCACAGCUGAAAGGGAAGACCAAAGGAAGGCCUGUCAUGGGAUUUGACUUUGGCCAUCUUGUGUGUUACGGAGAAGACCAAAAGCUGCAAAGACAAAUACUUCCAGUGAUAUUUUCUUGUUUACAGCUAAAGACCAAAAACGUAAAGAAAAUCGGUCACAGCAAGCCGGUCAAACCAGUCCUGUUGGGGAUGAGGAAUGAAAAUGGCCUACACUUGUGCCCAAACAGAAAAGAAAAGUUGCACAUUUCCACUGCUCCUACAAUGAGCAAAUCAGCUGUGCAUCAUCUCUGGGAUUUGGGCAGGAAUUGACUGAAUAUGGAGGAUGAAGCCAGUUGAUGAAGAUAUAAAUUCAAUGGCCACCAAGUGAAGCACUGCUGCCUGAACCCAUCAGAUAUCUGCUGUGAAGACUGCAUUCACAAACAGCUCUACUGCGACAGCUCAGAUGUUACGGCCCAUAAAGAAACUUCACAACUGAACAACUGGAAGAUAAGAGGAGGGAUUCAUUUAGGCCAUAACUCAAUCAAGAAUCAAUGGACAUCAAGACCAGGUGGUGUGUGAGGAAAGCACAGAGGACUGUCAGAGACUCCAGCCACCCGAGCCAUGGAUUGCUCUCACUCUUAACCAUCAGGCAGAUGUUAUCGCAGAACCUUCACCAGCAGACUGCAAGACAAGUUCUUUCCACAGACAAUCAGACUGAACUGAACUCGUACCAGUAACACCACAAACAGCACACAACCUCAUAUGCACUGCACUCCAUCAGUUACACUGACUGGACUCUGACUCACUAUUAUUCUGCACCCUGACAAUCUGUUUGCAGUAAUUCAUGCCAUACUGCACUGCAAAGAUAUAUAUGUACUGUGAUUAUUGUUUAUUAUUGUUUUCAUUUCAUGCUCUCUGUAUAGAAUAAUGUUUACCAUAUAUUGUUCUCUUUAUGUAUUGAGUUCUUAUAUAUAUAUAUAUAUAUAUUUGUGUUGCAUAUAUAUAUUCAAUACAUGUCAUCCAUAUUGUCAUGCUGCAGUUUGCACAGAAGACUUUCACCACCUGUACACUUGCGUUCAUGGUAUUGUGACAAUAAAGUGAUUUGAUUUGAAUUGGUUACAUGUCUUUUGUUCGUCAGUUGUACUGUAGGGUGCUGGGUAACAACUGAAAAUUGUUUAUGACAUGGAAGAAGAAGAUUGUGAUAGGGACAUGGACAAGCAAGCAAGAGGAAGAAAACCAGGAGAGCUCUGAUGAUGAGCAGGAAACUGAAUGUGAUUCUAUGAUGCUCAAGA